UUGCCUUAAACUAAUGAGUAAGGAAAACAAAACGAGUGGUGAGAACUGCUCGCCGCGCCCAAACACGUAGUGCGCAAGAAUUUUUGAAGGGGUCAUAGGCUGGCCGAGUGUUGACGCUGCUUACUUUGCAGAACUCUCUCGCGCGGGCCUCCCAACCUC